CGGAAGUGGUAUAAAAAUAGUUCCGGGAGACAUUUUCUUCCACAGCUAACCACGCUUUGGCAACGUGCCUGAUCAGGCAUGGGCACAUUUUAUUUCAAACAAAAUUUAAAGUAGACUAUGCGUAGGAGGUGUUUGCAUGCACGUUUUAGGUGCAUACAAAUCGGGGUUUUCCAAAAAUACAAGCAUAAAUGUGGAGAUUUUUCUUUAAGCAACACGGAAUAGGUAGGCCGCAACUGCGCCGUUGGAAAGAGCAAGAGCGCCCUUCAAAAUGCAGAAUAAUAGGUUGGAUUGCUAAAGCCACAAAGGUUUGAUCAAGUGAUGAAGACUUAUACAAACAUUAACUAGUUAUGUACACUACAAUGUCUCCAUUCACCCAUUUCCAAAAGUAUUUACUGUCACAGAUGUACGUUACUCACAAUAGGUUGCAGAUAUUUAUUUUUUUUGCCUUAUUUUUGACAAAACCAAAAACAUUCUACAAGCCUGUUAUUGACAUGGUCACAUUUAAAUAUGGGCUAUUAUUGCUGUCUUAAUUUUUAUGGUAAUAAAAAUCAAACUUGUGAAACUGGUCCUUCUCAUUCAUUGUUUAAUUGAUGUAUUGGUUUAUUUCAAGAAUUAAAAAAUAAAUUGGCACAAUAAAAUGGAAGUGCUAUCGAACUCAUUUUGGAUAUUAAGUUUGAUUAAAGAACAGGAUGCUCCCAUGAGCUCAGUAUGAGAGGAUGUCAUCAAGAUGUUCAGCUGUGAAACCUCCAGACUUCUACAUCCAACAGUCAGCUGUUUAUACUGACCAAGACUAUGAGCCCUAAAAAGUCGUAUCCUUAGGAUGAGGCUAAAGAACAAUAGUUUCAUGGAAUGAGUUUUUCUGGCUGAGCAGCUGAAUCCUCAAAUCACAAAGUGUUGACUAAAGAUAACCCAGCUACAGUUGGUUGAAGGCAGGGUGAACCUUGAACAGAAAAACCUCACAAGCACAAAAACAAGCAAACUCCACGAAAGUCCCAACCGGAUUCGAACCAGCGCCAUCUCUUGAGGUGAGAGUACCAACAACUGGUUCACCUCUUGUGGAAGGCCUUUCCUAUAAGAAUUGAAGCUGUUGUGGCUGCAAAGGAUGGGGUAACUUAAUAUUUAAUACCACAUGUUCAGAUCAUUUAAUUAUUGGCCAAGAAAGUAAAUUCUAAUUGCUAAAAUACUCUAGGAUUUUUUUUUUUCCCUCAACUUUUCUUCAGCACAGCUUGAAAUGUAAUUGGUCUUGUCUUGUGGCCAUUUACAUGAUUCAAAAAGUGCGAGAUUAAAGUUAAUCUUGUCAUAACUGGAGUUGCUUGGCAAUAUCACCAAGUUUCUCUUUUAAAGCAAGACACAGAUUGACAAGGAAAAAUAAAAUAUCUCAAAUAUAA